GGAGAGAUUGACAUCCAUCACACACACACACACACACAAUCACACACAAUGCACCCCUUACACACAAAGACAAUGAACCCCUUGCACACAGAAAAACACACAAUGCAUUACACACACACACGCAAUGCAACCCUUACACACAAUGCAUCCCUUACACACACAGAAACACACAAUGCAUUCCUUACACACACUCAAUGCACCCCUUAAAC